CGGGAUGUAGCUCAGCUCGGUAGAGUACGCGUCUGGGGGGCGUGUGGUCGCAAGUUCAAAUCUUGUCAUCCCGACCA
rnacentral:tRNA from 1 species